GAGGGUAUAGCUCAAGUGUUAGAGCACAUGCUUACCAUGCACAGGGGCCUGGGUUAAAUCCCCAGUGCCUCCU
rfam:Camelus ferus unplaced genomic scaffold scaffold877, whole genome shotgun sequence.